CGUGUAGCGGUGAAAUGCGUAGAGAUGUGGAGGAACACCAGUGGCGAAGGCGACUCUCUGGUCUGUAACUGACGCUGAGGAGCGAAAGCGUGGGGAGCGAACAGGAUUAGAUACCCUGGUAGUCCACGCCGUAAACGAUGAGUGCUAAGUGUUAGGGGGUUUCCGCCCCUUAGUGCUGCAGCUAACGCAUUAAGCACUCCGCCUGGGGAGUACGGUCGCAAGACUGAAACUCAAAGGAAUUGACGGGGGCCCGCACAAGCGGUGGAGCAUGUGGUUUAAUUUGAAGCAACGCGAAGAACCUUACCAGGUCUUGACAUCCUCUGACAAUCCUAGAGAUAGGACGUCCCCUUCGGGGGCAGAGUGACAGGUGGUGCAUGGUUGUCGUCAGCUCGUGUCGUGAGAUGUUGGGUUAAGUCCCGCAACGAGCGCAACCCUUGAUCUUAGUUGCCAGCAUUCAGUUGGGCACUCUAAGGUGACUGCCGGUGACAAACCGGAGGAAGGUGGGGAUGACGUCAAAUCAUCAUGCCCCUUAUGACCUGGGCUACACACGUGCUACAAUGGACAGAACAAAGGGCAGCGAAACCGCGAGGUUAAGCCAAUCCCACAAAUCUGUUCUCAGUUCGGAUCGCAGUCUGCAACUCGACUGCGUGAAGCUGGAAUCGCUAGUAAUCGCGGAUCAGCAUGCCGCGGUGAAUACGUUCCCGGGCCUUGUACACACC
rnacentral:rRNA from 2 species